GCAAACGAGGUGCACGAAGGGCGGGUAAUACGUAGGGGUCUGGCGGUAAUCGGAAUUACUGGGCGGAAAGCGUGCGCCGGCUGUUGGGUAAGUCAGAGGUGAAAUCCCCGGGAGCAACCUGGGAACUGCAUUUGAGACUGCCAAGCUGGAGUUUGGCAGAGGGGGGUGGAAUUCCACGUGUAGCAGUGAAAUGCGUAGAGAUGUGGAGGAACACCGAUGGCGAAGGCAGCCCCCUGGGCCAAUACUGACGCUCAUGCACGAAAGCGUGGGGAGCAAACAGGAUUAGAUACCACAGUAGUC
rnacentral:rRNA from 1 species